rnacentral:rRNA from 1 species
UACGGGGGGGGCAAGCGUUGUUCGGAAUUACUGGGCGUAAAGGGCUCGUAGGCGGCCAACUAAGUCGGAUGUGAAAUCCCCAGGCUUAACCUGGGAACUGCAUCCGAUACUGGAUGGCUUGAAUUCGGGAGAGGGAUGCAGAAUUCCCGGUGUAGCGGUGAAAUGCGCAGAUAUCGGGAGGAACACCGGUGGCGAAGGCGGUUCUCUGGGCCUGACCUGACGCUGAGGAGCGAAAGCGUGGGGAGCGAACAGG